AGCAGUAGCCGCGGUAAAACGAAGGGUACAAGCGUUACUCGGAAUUACUGGGCGUAAAGCGUGCGUAGGUGGUGGUUUAAGUCCGUUGUGAAAGCCCUGGGCUCAACCUGGGAAUUGCAGUGGAUACUGGAUCACUAGAGUGUGGUAGAGGAUAGUGGAAUUUCCGGUGUAGCAGUGAAAUGCGUAGAGAUCGGAAGGAACAUCUGUGGCGAAGGCGACUAUCUGGGCCAACACUGACACUGAGGCACGAAAGCGUGGGGAGCAAAUGGGAUUAGAUACCCCCGUAGUCCCUGUCUCUUAUAC
rnacentral:rRNA from 1 species